rnacentral:lncRNA from 10 species
GCACAGCUGCCAGUGGCUGAGCUAAGAUUUGAACUGUGUCUUUCUGAUUCACAGACCUGCGUUCUAGCUCCCUUGUCGCCCUGAGAAAAGACCAGUGAGUCCUGAUGGAUACCAGUAACAUUGACAGCCGCAAAGGAGUUAAGAGGGGCAGCUGAAAUGAAACCCACCGUCAUCAACCAGGAACUGAACUCUCAAAAGAAAUGAAGAAUCCAGGGGCAACGGCAGUCUCGCUAUUCAUUAAUGGGUUUAUUGAGAACUCUCUUGACAUUGAGCUGUAACUACAACAUUUAAGAAAAUCUCAAAUUUGAAAAUAA